rnacentral:rRNA from 2 species
UGCAGAAUCCCGUGAACCAUCGAGUCUUUGAACGCAAGUUGCGCCCGAGGCGAAUCCGCCAAGGGCACGUCUGCCUGGGCGUCACGCAUCGCGUCGCUCUCCCCCUUCACUCACUCGACCGGUGAUUGCGUGGGGGGUGCGGAAGUUGGCCUCCCGUGCGCUCGUUCGCUCGGCCGGCCUAAAUGUGCCGCGUUCCUUUGCAUCGGACGCCACGAGCAAUGGUGGUUGCCUCUGUCGACUUCGCAUGCUGUGGCGCCGAACGUCCUUGGGAACGGGUGAUGAUCCCCUUGUGGCGAGGCGAGGCACUAGUGCCUUGGCAAGCCUCUCGACCGCGACCCCAGGUCAGGCGGGACUACCCGCUGAGUUUAAGCAUAUCAAUAAGCGGAGGAGAAGAAACUUACGAGGAUUCCCCUAGUAACGGCGAGCGAACCGGGAAUAGCCCAACUUGAGAAUCGUGCGAUCACGUCGCUCGA